GACAGAGGUCCCAAGCGUUAGGCGGAAUCACUGGGCUUAAAGCGUGUGUAGGCGGAUGCCUAAGUACCUUGUGAAAUCCCACGGCUCACCCGUGGAACUGCUUGGUAUACUGGGUGUCUUGAGCCACUUAGGGGCUACCGGAACAAAUGGUGGAGCGGUGAAAUGCGUAGAUAUCAUUUGGAACGCCAACGGUGAAAACAGGUAGCUGGGAGUGUGCUGACGCUGAGACACGAAAGCCAGGGGAGGCAAAACAGG
rnacentral:rRNA from 1 species